rnacentral:rRNA from 1 species
AUUGAACGCUGGCGGCAGGCCUAACACAUGCAAGUCGAGCGGAUGAAGGGAGCUUGCUCCUGGAUUCAGCGGCGGACGGGUGAGUAAUGCCUAGGAAUCUGCCUGGUAGUGGGGGAUAACGUCCGGAAACGGGCGCUAAUACCGCAUACGUCCUGAGGGAGAAAGUGGGGGAUCUUCGGGCCUCACGCUAUCAGAUGAGCCUAGGUCGGAUUAGCUAGUUGGUGGGGUAAAGGCCUACCAAGGCGACGAUCCGUAACUGGUCUGAGAGGAUGAUCAGUCACACUGGAACUGAGACACGGUCCAGACUCCUACGGGAGGCAGCAGUGGGGAAUAUUGGACAAUGGGCGAAAGCCUGAUCCAGCCAUGCCGCGUGUGUGAAGAAGGUCUUCGGAUUGUAAAGCACUUUAAGUUGGGAGGAGGGGCAGUAAGUUAAUACCUUGCUGUUUUGACGUUACCAACAGAAUAAGCACCGGCUAACUUCGUG